UUGCAGUAUAUGGAGCUUGUGAAAAAUGGAUAAUAAAAUGAGGAAAAGUACUCCAAGCCAUCAGCCAGGUGAUGGAAUUCGCACAAUGGAUUCCACUUCUGUCUUCAGAGUUGCUAAUUUUGAGCUCUAUAUCAAACCUAACAGGUUCAUGAUGGGCUUAGGACUGGUGGCAAUAACUGGUUGUUUGACUUAUAUCGGAUACUUGAAUUGGGUAACUACAAAAGGCUCGGAGCACAAUUAUAUUGCUGUAACAGAAGAUGGUACAAAAUACAUACGCCCAAGAAUUUCGAAAUGGGAAUGAUUAGUUAACUUCAUUGACACAUUUGUGAUAGUAGAAAUAACUCCAUUGUGUAUUCUAACACUGUAUUGCUUUUUAGAACAAGUAUGUGAUGAGCUUAGGACUGGUGGCAAUAAUUUAUAAUGGAUAUUUGAAUUGGGUAACUACAAAAGACUCGGAGAAAAAUAUAUCGCUGCAACAGAGAAUGGUACAAAAUACAUAUACUAAAGAAUUUCAAAAUGGGAAUGAUUAGUUGACCUCAACUGUUAACUGUAACAUAGUACAUAAUUUUUAUAACUAGAAUAAAAAUAUUUAUUUAUGGUUAUGUAUGAUAUAGCCAGUUUUAUGUGAUGUAUCAUUUUGUAUUAAUCUAAAUAUGACCUUAAAAUGAAAUGCUGUACAACACUAAGAUAAAAAGUGAUAUAAAUUUUGUUUCCUGAUUAUAA